rnacentral:rRNA from 1 species
UACGAAGGGGGCUAGCGUUGCUCGGAAUUAUUGGGCGUAAAGAGCUCGUAGGCGGUUCGUCACGUCGGCUGUGAAAUCCCGAGGCUCAACCUCGGGUCUGCAGUCGAUACGGGCGGACUUGAGUACUGCAGGGGAGACUGGAAUUCCUGGUGUAGCGGUGAAAUGCGCAGAUAUCAGGAGGAACACCGGUGGCGAAGGCGGGUCUCUGGGCAGUAACUGACGCUGAGGAGCGAAAGCGUGGGGAGCGAACAGG